rnacentral:misc_RNA from 1 species
GUUUCGAUGAGCCGGGACGUGGCGCCGCUCUAGCCAGCGCCUGGGCUCUGUGGCGGGCGCCGCAGCUCCGCGUCCCCCGCGCCUCCUCCCAGCGCAGACUUCAAGGGCUACCACUGGACCCUUCCCCUGUCUUGAACCCUGAGCCGGCACCAUGCACGGACGCCUGAAGGUGAAGACGUCAGAAGAGCAGGCGGAGGCCAAAAGGCUAGAGCGAGAGCAGAAGCUGAAGCUAUACCAGUCAGCCACCCAGGCCGUAUUCCAGAAGCGCCAGGCUGGUGAGCUGGAUGAGUCCGUGCUGGAACUGACAAGCCAGAUUCUGGGAGCCAACCCUGAUUUUGCCACCCUCUGGAACUGCCGACGAGAGGUGCUCCAGCAGCUGGAGACUCAGAAGUCUCCUGAAGAGUUGGCUGCUCUGGUGAAGGCAGAACUGGGCUUCCUGGAGAGCUGCCUGCGGGUGAACCCCAAGUCUUAUGGUACCUGGCACCACCGAUGCUGGCUGCUAGGCCGCCUGCCUGAGCCCAACUGGACCCGAGAGCUGGAGCUCUGUGCCCGUUUCCUGGAGGUGGAUGAGCGGAACUCUGCACCCCCAGCCGGAUUCUGGACCACAGGGGCGCCUCCCUGAGGAUGUGCUGCUCAAAGGUUUAUUGAGCACCUACUUCAUGCGUGGCUCCAGGGGUGCUUAAGAAUCAGUCCCUGGCUGAAGGAAGCUUAAGUGUCUGAUGGGGAAGAUAAAACUGACAUACGUAGCCCCUG